rnacentral:tRNA from 1 species
GGGCGAGUGGCGGAACUGGUAGACGCGUUGGACUUAAAAUCCAAUGAGCUAAACACUCGUGAGGGUUCGAGUCCCUCCUCGCCCA